rnacentral:tRNA from 1 species
GGGUUUAAAGUCGCCUUCACACGGCGGAGGUCCUGAGUUCGAAUCUCAGCGGGCCCA